rnacentral:rRNA from 1 species
UACGGGGGGUGCGAGCGUUGUCCGGAAUCACUGGGCGUAAAGGGCGCGUAGGUGGCUUUGUAAGUUUGCGGUGAAAGCCCGGGGCUCAACCCCGGGUCUGCCGUGGAUACUGCAAGGCUUGAGUACUGUAGAGGCAGGUAGAAUAUCGGGUGUAGCGGUGGAAUGCGUAGAGAUCCGAUAGAAGACCGGUGGCGAAGGCGGCCUGCUGGGCAGUAACUGACACUGGAGGCGCGACAGCGUGGGGAGCAAACAGG